rnacentral:rRNA from 1 species
CAUGUGGGCGGUUUUUUAAGUCCGGAGUGAAAAUGCGGGGCUCAACCUCGUAUGGCUCUGGAUACUGGAAGACUUGAGUGCAGGAGAGGAAAGGGGAAUUCCCAGUGUAGCGGUGAAAUGCGUAGAUAUUGGGAGGAACACCAGUGGCGAAGGCGCCUUUCUGGACUGUGUCUGACGCUGAGAUGCGAAAGCCAGGGUAGCGAACG